rnacentral:lncRNA from 1 species
UACCCUCUAACGAGAGUGGUAUUGCACUAUCUGUAGGGGUCACCCGUGGCUAAGUGAUAUUGUUACUAUAGAUAUCUGUUAGGGCGACUAUAGCUGGUACAGUUGUGGUCGUAGAUCGUUCCACUUUUUGGCUAGCCAAAAAUGGGCUUGAGCAAAUUGUCAUAUCUGUAUCUAAUUUGGUCAUUCCACUUUGGUAGUUGGAAAUCUGUAUCUGCCUUCAGAGAGGAAAGUUGUAACAACUUCGCGAAGCAUGACAUGAAGAUCAGAGCAUUUCAUGAUUUAUUUGAUUUUCUCUAUUAUUCGGCAUGAUGUAUGUUUGAUUGUCUAUAUGAACGUACUGUUUUCUUAAUAAACAAAUUAUUUUCA